rnacentral:rRNA from 1 species
CGGAGGAAAAGAAACCAACAGGGAUUGCCUCAGUAACGGCGAGUGAAGCGGCAACAGCUCAAAUUUGAAAUCUGGCUCUUUCAGGGUCCGAGUUGUAAUUUGUAGAAGAUGCUUUGGGUGUGGCUCCGGUCUAAGUUCCUUGGAACAGGACGUCAUAGAGGGUGAGAAUCCCGUACGUGACUGGGUGCCUUCGCUCGUGUAAAGCUCUUUCGACGAGUCGAGUUGUUUGGGAAUGCAGCUCAAAAUGGGUGGUAAAUUUCAUCUAAAGCUAAAUAUUGGCCAGAGACCGAUAGCGCACAAGUAGAGUGAUCGAAAGAUGAAAAGCACUUUGGAAAGAGAGUUAAACAGUACGUGAAAUUGUUGAAAGGGAAGCGCUUGCAACCAGACUUGCGGGCGGUUGAUCAUCCGAGCUUUUGCCCGGUGCACUCGAUCGUUCUCAGGCCAGCAUCGGUUUUGGUGGGCGGAUAAAGGCCUUGGGAAUGUAGCUUCUUUCGGGGAGUGUUAUAGCCCUCGGUGCAAUGCGCCCUACCGGGACCGAGGACCGCGCUUCGGCUAGGAUGCUGGCGUAAUGGUUGUAAGCGACCCGUCUUGAA